CCUACGGGUGGCUGCAGUGGGGAAUAUUGGACAAUGGGGGCAACCCUGAUCCAGCCAUGCCGCGUGUGUGAAGAAGGCCCUCGGGUUGUAAAGCACUUUCAGUGAGGAAGAACGCCUGGUGGUUAAUACCCAUCAGGAAAGACAUCACUCACAGAAGAAGCACCGGCUAACUCCGUGCCAGCAGCCGCGGUAAUACGGAGGGUGCGAGCGUUAAUCGGAAUUACUGGGCGUAAAGCGCGCGUAGGUGGCUUGAUAAGCCGGUUGUGAAAGCCCCGGGCUCAACCUGGGAACGGCAUCCGGAACUGUCAAGCUAGAGUGAAGGAGAGGAAGGUAGAAUUCCCGGUGUAGCGGUGAAAUGCGUAGAGAUCGGGAGGAAUACCAGUGGCGAAGGCGGCCUUCUGGACUGACACUGACACUGAGGUGCGAAAGCGUGGGUAGCAAACAGGAUUAGAUACCCCUGUAGUC
rnacentral:rRNA from 1 species